CACAGUUUGACAUCAAGAGGAAUGCAAACAGAUGCUUUAUUUUUAGCAUAGUUAUUCUCUCAGGUUGGUGCUAUCUUUCAUCUUGGCUCAAUGAGGUGGGCUUAAAUCUACCUUUCUUCAUGCAGACGCCUGUGUCAGUGCUUGCAGAAUCUCUGCCCUUGUUUGGAAGAAGAGUGCUUUCUGUGAGACUAGGACGUAGUGAAUUGAAGCUUAAGGCUUGUGAUGUACCUACAUCAUGUCUAUUUCAGAGCCUCAGAAAAGGGUGCUCCAGCUUUUUUUGGAAGAGGAUAGAUUCCGUAAGCAUGGCUGUGGACACAGCAUACAGGUAUUCUGCAUUUCUGCCUCUGUGGAGCCAAAAGAGCGUCAGAUUGCCACAUUGCAGUUCAGGGGCUGCUUUUUCGUGGCGUUCCCUCUGCAAGGUACUGCACAGAGUGAAUGUAUGUGGCAGAGGACCAGACUUGAUAUCCCAUGGACAUUUAUGCAUGAAGAUGAACUAUCUCCCAAGUGAUCUGAAAUCUUCACUGGAGCUAAGCUGUCGGCUAAAUGUUAUACCUCUGCACUUUUCGUUUCAGUGGGCCCACCAACUUCAGAAGGAGAACGUACAUCAGUAAGGUACUUCAUGUGAGCAGGAACUGAGAGACUGGACAUGAACGUGAAAUAAAAACCUCACUCCCUCUUCCA
rnacentral:lncRNA from 1 species